GAUGUGCUGUUCUCACCAGGCACAGAGUUUAAUCAAGAAUCAUUCAAUUAAGUGCUCAACACACUCAAGUCAGUACCGCUGUGCUGUAAAUUAAUGUGAAUAGGAAAUCUAACAUCCCUGCAUUUUAACAAAUGAAGAGAUUGAGGAAAGCAAUCUAUUUAAUCGACCACUUUGAACAUAUAUUGUCAGUGAGUUGCUUCAUUUGCAGAGCAAUGCUUCCAGCUGGGACAGUGUUUAUUGGAGAUCAUCUUUCCUGGUGGAGUGGUACAAUGGAACAAGAGAUGACCGGACCAAAGUGGCAGACUUCAGUCGAGCUAUUAGGCUUCAUGUUGUCCUCACUCACUCCAGAAAAAAAAGCAGCUUUUCAAAAAUAAUACAUUAUGAUUAAUAAGAACAUGAUAAAUAUACAACAAUUUGUAACACAAUGCUAUUGUGUUGACAGAAUGUCCCAUUUCUUCUAGGUGUAAAUUGAUAAGGAGUGUUUGAUAGCAUAAAUGGUUGGUUUUGACGCCCGCCUUGCCGACACCCCCUCUCACCAUAGUCUCUACCUUAGAUGAGCUUGAUUUGUCUGCAUUGGAAUGAAAUAAAGCGAACGGAGGAAAACAGUCUCUGAACAUGAACACUGUAAGUCUUAUUGAUCCUGCUCUUAAGUAGUGCCUGAUAGGGACAAAUACUGUUCAGGCUUUGAACUGAGAAGACAGCAAGGUGAGCAGAACUCCAUAAUACAUCUACUAUAGCUAGGAUACAUCUUUGUGUUUACUCUGCAAUGCUUAAAAGAUUUGUGGGCUAUUUUCAAUAACAUUUCUCUAGAGGUAUUCAUUUUAAAAUGAAAAUUCCUGUAUUCAUAAAAUCUAUCUAUGAAAUAUCAACAUUUGUAGCAGCAAUAUAUUAUCAAGCCAAUUAGGGACUCAUUUAAUGAGUAAUUCCUUCCUGAUAUGUAAUCAUCACCACCUGGUUUUACCAAGCUGAGGACUAGGUCACACCAUACAUUGGCUUGGUAACACUGCCAGUCCAGAUGGCACCUCAUUCAACGUUUCACUAUUUCCAUGUUUUAGACAUAAAACCGUAUAUUUGAAACAAAAAUGGAUCAUGUUCUCUCCGGUGGAUAUAAGCCAAUUUAAUUCAGCCUUUCCUCAUUGUGGAAUGAAUAGAAGACAUUAGCUGCUCCUCGUCAGUGCCAGACAGGGACUUAGUUUGGAGCUGGUUGUUUAUAUCAGACGAUGGAUUAGAGAAAGAGGGGAGAGAGGGGGAUAGAGAGAGAGAGAGAGAAAGAGAGAGGGAGAGAGUGAGAGUGAGAGAGAAAGAGAGGGAGAGAGAGUGAGAGAGAAAGGGAAAGAGAGAGAGAGAGGGAGAGAGAGAGGGAGAGAAUGAGGGAGAGAGAGAGUGAGAGUGAGAGUGAGAGAGAGAGAGAGAGAGAGAGAAAGAGGGAGAGAAAGAGAGACUGGGAGAGAGAGACAGAGAGAGAGAGAGAGAGGGAACAGGAUACCAGUGCUACUUUGUGCUGUUGACUAGCUGCCAAAGGGCCCCAGAUUUCCCUGACAGAAUGGCCUGUCUCUAGCACCAACAGGAACAGCUGGGAAAAACCACUGGAAAUGUACAAACUGAUUUCCUCAUAAAGGCAAAGACAGUUGGCUACUUUGGACUGGAGAAGAAAAUGUGAUCAUUUGCAUAAAAAAAUAAUGCACACACUUCAUUUUCCUCAACUCUGACUGGUAGUUAUGAGAUCACAAGUUGUCACAAAAGGCAAAAUGAAAAAUGACCUUCAGAUACUGUACAAAGAAGUUAAGUUGUUAGGUUGUCUUUCAGAUUUUUCUAUCCAUUUCAUUACAGUAGGACUGGUGUAAAUAUUGCUAUUACCACCUGGUGUGGUAUCCUACAUCUUUAAAAUAGAUUUGGAAUUGACUGAGCACAGUUAUGAUUUGCAUGUAGGCUACUGCACUGAUCCAUAAAACAACACUGAAUGACAUGAACCCUAAAUAAGACAGUUCAUGGAUCAACAUUAAGUGAUUUUUAAAAUCCAGUUUAACGUAUUGUUUUGUCUGUAAUUUGUUCAGUCUUUUCUUAGGAAAUUCCAAAACGCUUAAUUAGCUUAAUGACCUAAACUCAAUAGAUUCAAAUUCCUCCUUAUAGGAUCACCAUUCUUACUUCUAAAUGUCAGAAACACUGAAUGUGAAUUAAGAGCAUUUCUCAGUUCUUAGUAACAAGAUAAUGAACACAAUUAGUGCUAUCAUCCAGCUGUAAAUGGCUUGCCGUGUUAACCUAUUGAUUAUAGGUAAUUACAGUAAGUCACGUUAAGCAUUUUCAUGUUUAAGCGUUUCUGUAAAUCCCAUUCACUAUCCUCAAAACAGUACCGGAGUUAGAAAUUUGAUACAUGUAAGUCACACAUUUGCAAUUUUAAAGCCAAACCUGUUAUCAUAAUUGCCAGUAAAAAGUACAUGAAUAAAUUGUGGUUUUAUGAAAAAAUCUAAUAUACCAACAUGGUAUGGAAAAACCCUUUAGAUUCAUUCUUGUUCUUAAAUAUAGACUCUUAAUCAUUUCCACUGGAUACAGAGGCACUUUGUUUUAUCAUAGUGAAAAUCAUACUUCACACACAUCCUCAUUGUCUCUCAUACACAUUUAACAUUAGAGAUAUGGUCUACUCCAAUAAACUGUAUGGGCUGUGCUAGAGAGAGAGAGAGAGAGAGACAGAGAGAGAGAGAG
rnacentral:lncRNA from 13 species